GCCAGAAGAGGCUCAGAUGGUGUACAGCCAGUGAAGGCAAGAUCUGCUCAGUGACACCAGACAAGUAAUGUGAUAAAAGGAGCCUGGAGUGGAAAUAUUCUGACAGCCAGAUUUAGACACCAUGAUACAAAGGUUCCAUGAUGCCCUGUGGAAGCCAUAGUUAGAGAUGUGUCCUUGCAGAGAAGCAUUCUCAGUGGGAGAGUUGCAGAGAUCCAGCCUUACCCCUAGAACCUUCCAUGUGUUGGAGAACUUCAGUGACAGAUUUACCAGGAGAACACAGAACUGGAGAGGCGAAAGGAAGACGGGACUUGGUCAGCCACUGAUGUUUCAUUAUUUGGUACAUAAAAGGAGAUGAAACAAACCCGCUCUUUUUAAUUGGAAAGUUAGAACUUCCGGUGGUGUCAAGGUCUGUGGAAAACAUCGUAUUCCACAGGAAUUAAAUCAUAGAAUCAUAGAACCACAAGUUUGGAAAUGACCUUCAAGAUCAUCUUGUCCAACCGUCCUGCCGUUACCAUUGCUACCACUAAUACUUCAUAGGUCUGUAGACAGUGGAAUUUUAUCCUAACAAAAGCUACAUCUUAAGAGUUUUUAGAGAAAUUUUGCCUUAUCUUUUCCAUUUGUCUACAAUACCUUCCAUAAUUCUGCCUCCCAGGUAAUAUCUCUGUAGAAAAGAAGUACUAUGAACUACUUUUCAUAAUAUCCUUGCUCUAUCAGUCACAUUUCUGUGCAUCACAUGCAGCUUUUACUAAAUCAAGAUGAUAUUUAAGCCUCUUACCAAACAAAAUAUUGCCAACUACCUUGAGGAAAGGAUUUUCCUACCAAAAAAUGGUGCAGAUUCUCUAAAAAGCAGAACUUACCUCUUCACUUCUCCCUGGUGACAAAACGUUUAGAGAGAGACUUCCUGACACUUCUGCCUUUUGCAGCUGAACAUCUCUUCUGCACACCGAGAAGCAGAGAGAAGUACCUUUGAUCCUCAAUUACAGAGUGUGUGUCCUCCAUACCCCGCCCUGCUUCACUAUUGCUAAGAACUCCUCUGGCCAAAACUGCAUUAUGCAAUAAGGACACCCAUGGUCUGGCUCGGCACCACACUCUCAUGACGGCAUUAAUUUGAUAAUUAGUAGAGAGUCAAAGUUGAAGAUCUGCAGGGAGGGAGGAGCGUAUAAAACUGCAGUACUAUACAGGACAAUCAGCAAAAAAAUGUUUACAAUUAGUGCCUUGUCUAAUUGGGAAUGACAAAAAUGUACUUCUGCUGCUGUGGGACUUUACAGUGCAGGCUGCUGAAGUUCCUAUGAGGUGCAAUGAAAUGUUUGUGCAAAAAUAUGGUGUCAGAGUUACAUAGCCACAAAAAUGCAGCUCAGUUAAUGUCACAGGAAAAUCUCAGGUGAAGCCUUCACCUCCUGCAACCUUUGAUUAGUACCACUUUCAUACACUUCUCAGUUCUCCCUGUGUGUCUGUCUCCCAGCUCCACACCCACAGAUCAGUUGUCCUGCUUCAGAACACCAGGGAGGACAGAACACAAGAUUUGUGUGAGCAGAAGUUGGUGAAUUUGCCCUAAAAAUGCCACAGAAUUCUCCCAAGCCACAAGUACUUGAGGUAUUUUAAUGAUCCAAUUUGACAAGUAAAUUAGGUAGAAAUCUGCAUAAUACAUUAUGUUCUUAACUACCUGCCUGCAGUCAAAUCAUUUCCAAAUCUGAAUCACUUCACUUAGGAAGAAUAUCCUACAAGCAAUGUCCAAGGCAUCAUUGCCACACCUUCCUGCUUCCCUUCCUUACCAAACAGCCUGAGCUGACCCAUUAGUAAAAGCUGACCUAGUCCUUCAACCUUUUUUUUCCCCCUGUAGUUUUCAAUAGAAACAGGUUUUCUGUUCAAAAACUGCCCAAUUCACACAGAAAAUUAAAGAAAUGGUGCAGCACUUCUUGUGGCAGCAAUAGUUAAGGUGCCACAUUGCCUCCACUGGCAGAGCCACAAAGCCCCAUUUCUGAAGGUGGACAAACUACUGCACUAAGGAGGAUGUAACUUGGGCUGUGGUUUGCAGGGCAGAUUCACAAAUGCUGAAAUAUUAUUGCCCUGAAUACUUCUGCAAGAUUCUUACCUCAGCAUUUCUGUUUUCAACUCUACCUUUCAGGCUAAGUUUUGCAACAGAGCACUGGGGCACGGAGUGGGAGGAGACAUUUUCAGGGGCUUUUCAAAAACCACUGAUGAAAAACAACAUGGAAGUAACAAAGUUGUUUUGUGUACAAGAGAAGCAACACUUGCAGACCACAGCACCUGUGUUCUUGACAGUCCAGCAGCCCUACUUCUAGUCACCUUCCCAGCUGGGUCUGUCAGCCACAGGCACCAGCAGAGCACUGGCAAGGCAGCAGGAGGCAGAAGUCUGUUUACCUCAGCCUGAGUUCUCUCAGAAAAGUAUUUGUAUAAGAGCCAAAGAAAUUCCUGUAGGUACUUCUGCCAUUUCAAGUGCAAAACUGCACAGCUAUUUUCAUUCUUUUUGUUAUA